rnacentral:rRNA from 1 species
CCUACGGGAGGCAGCAGUGAGGAAUAUUGGUCAAUGGGCGCGAGCCUGAACCAGCCAAGUAGCGUGAAGGAUGACUGCCCUACGGGUUGUAAACUUCUUUUAUAAAGGAAUAAAGUGAGGCACGUGUGCCUUUUUGUCUGUACUUUAUGAAUAAGGAUCGGCUAACUACGUGCCAGCAGCCGCGGUAAUAAGGAGGAGCCGAACGUUAUCCGGAUUUAUUGGGGUUAAAGGGAGCGUAGAUGGGUUGUUAAGUCAGUUGGGAAAGUUUGCGGCUCAACCGUAAAAUUGCAAUUGAUACUGGCAGCCUAGAGUACAGUUGAGGUAGGCGGAAUUCGUGGUGUAGCGGUGAAAUGCUUAGAGAUCACGAAGAACUCCGAUUGCGAAGGCAGCCUACUAAACUGACACUGACAUUGAUGCUCGAAAGUGUGGGUAUCAAACAGGAUUAGAUACCCUAGUAGUC